rnacentral:tRNA from 2 species
GGGCGGUUAGCUCAGCUGGUAGAGCAUCUCGUUUACACCGAGGUUGUCGGGGGUUCGAAUCCCUCACCGCCCACCA